rnacentral:lncRNA from 1 species
UGGUUAGAGAAAGACAGUCAUAGGCCAAGAGGAUCAUUCUGCAUACUAGUGGUAAACCAUCUUCUUUUGAUUUUCCCUGUGGAAUCUUAUAUGAAAUAUGAUCCCAAAUAUCCAUGUUCUGGAGCCAUUCUGAGUUUUUAUUUAAAUAUUUAUUUUUAAACCUCAUUGUCAUCUUACCUCCAAUUUUACUCUGCUUAAAUUCUUUACUUUCCAGCAAGAGUAUGUUCCUUGCUCAGAAAUCGAUAUUGAAAUCUGUUCUGAAGGUAUUUUCACUUUUACAGGAAAGGAGUAGUAGGAAAAAUGUGUUUUCCCUCUUGAGCAGUCUCUGAAAGGAACCAUAAUAGUCAAUCAGUUCACCUUGAGAUGGAUGCUGCACAUUCCUCAGAGCAUCUAUUUGCCAGACUCAAAUCUUUUCUUUCUCUGUCCACAUAAAUCCUUUAUCUCAUUCCAUGAGACUCCAAGCUAAGCCAUGAGUCAUUAAUCAUGUGAUAGCCAGAAGCAGGAACUCUACUCUGUGUGUCUGCUGGAGUCAGAGCAACUUGGACACAUAAUUUUUUUAGUUCGUAAAGGUAUACAUGAUAUUGAAAUUCAUUUUGGCAUAAUUACAAGCAUGAAAUACAAUUUGCUCCAAUUCAGUUCCUAAUAAUUCCUUUUUCCCUCCCCUUCUCUCUCAUCCUCUUCCCUUUCCUCUGCUCUAUUGAACUUUCUUCUAUUUAUUUAUAGUGGUUUAAUUAGUGCAUUAUGAAUAUGAACAUAAAGGUGAAAUUCAUUACGGUAUAUUCAUAUAUGUACAUAGGAAAGUUUAUUCAGAUCCAUUCCAUCAUUCUUCCCUUUUCCCAUCCCUUCUGCCUCCUCAUCAAUCCCCUUCCUUUACUCCACUGAUCUCUCUUCUGUUUUCAUGAUAUUUAUACACACACACACACACACACACACACUUAUUCUUUUCUUUUUCUUUUCCUUCUUUUGAUCUAGCUUCCACAUGAGUGAAAAUACUCAACCCUUGUACAACUACUCUGAAAAGUCAUAUGGGGAUUCCUCAAAAAGUCUAGGAAUGAAACCACCAUAUGAUCCAGCUAUCCCACUCAUUGCUACAUAUCCAAAAGGUCAAAAAUCAGUAGCAAAUGGGAAAGACAAUAGAAUGAAUCAGACUGGAAUUUCCUAUGUUCUUAUAUGAAAACAUGACCAGUUAAUGCCACAGUCUGGCUGGGCACAAAUCGCGGAGCCGCCACAAAGCAUUUGUAUGUUCAAACAGGAAACUUUAUUGCCUGAACUCCAACAGAACUCCACGAACACUCACCGGGAACUCUCCCGAACGUCACCCACGCAGCCCCUCUCUGGCACACCACACCAACCGGAACUCCCUCCACCGGAACUUGACCAAACAACGCAAACUCCCCAGGAAAUCCCCGCGAGAACUCCAAAGUAGCGGGCACCCCAGGCUGACAGCAGGGGUCUAUAUACAAUUGAAUCAAUCCAGCAUCAUCUUAAUGGCUUGCCUCUCAACCAUUACUUCUGGCAAAAUUCCAGGGGCCAUUCCGAGUCGGCUGUGGCUCUCAACAAGUUAACUCCACAUCAUCAUGUAUAACCACAAAAAUGGGAAGUUAUA